UGGGGAAUAUUGGACAAUGGGCGAAAGCCUGAUCCAGCAAUGCCGCGUGAGUGAUGAAGGCCCUAGGGUUGUAAAGCUCUUUUACCCGGGAUGAUAAUGACAGUACCGGGAGAAUAAGCCCCGGCUAACUCCGUGCCAGCAGCCGCGGUAAUACGGAGGGGGCUAGCGUUGUUCGGAAUUACUGGGCGUAAAGCGCACGUAGGCGGCUUUGUAAGUUAGAGGUGAAAGCCUGGAGCUCAACUCCAGAAUUGCCUUUAAGACUGCAUCGCUUGAAUCCAGGAGAGGUGAGUGGAAUUCCGAGUGUAGAGGUGAAAUUCGUAGAUAUUCGGAAGAACACCAGUGGCGAAGGCGGCUCACUGGACUGGUAUUGACGCUGAGGUGCGAAAGCGUGGGGAGCAAACAGG
rnacentral:rRNA from 2 species